AGAGUUUGAUCCUGGCUCAGAUUGAACGCUGGCGGCAUGCCUAACACAUGCAAGUCGAACGGUAACAGGCAGAAGCUUGCUUUUGUGCUGACGAGUGGCGGACGGGUGAGUAACGCAUAGGAAUCUGCCCAGUAGUGGGGGACAACUUGGGGAAACCCAAGCUAAUACCGCAUACGCCCUACGGGGGAAAGCAGGGGAUCUUCGGACCUUGCGCUAUUGGAUGAGCCUAUGUCUGAUUAGCUAGUUGGUGAGGUAAUGGCUCACCAAGGCGACGAUCAGUAGCUGGUCUGAGAGGAUGAUCAGCCACACUGGGACUGAGACACGGCCCAGACUCCUACGGGAGGCAGCAGUGGGGAAUAUUGGACAAUGGGGGCAACCCUGAUCCAGCAAUGCCGCGUGUGUGAAGAAGGCCUGCGGGUUGUAAAGCACUUUCAGUUGGGAAGAAAAGCUUCGUGUUAAUAGCGCGGAGUCUUGACAUUACCAUCAGAAGAAGCACCGGCUAACUCUGUGCCAGCAGCCGCGGUAAUACAGAGGGUGCGAGCGUUAAUCGGAAUUACUGGGCGUAAAGCGCGCGUAGGCGGUUUGGUCAGUCGGAUGUGAAAGCCCCGGGCUCAACCUGGGAAUGGCAUUCGAUACUGCCAGGCUAGAGUAUGGGAGAGGGAAGUGGAAUUUCCGGUGUAGCGGUGAAAUGCGUAGAUAUCGGAAAGAACACCAGUGGCGAAGGCGACUUCCUGGCCCAAUACUGACGCUGAGGUGCGAAAGCGUGGGGAGCGAACAGGAUUAGAUACCCUGGUAGUCCACGCCGUAAACGGUGUCAACUGGGUGUUGGGGAGCUUGACUCCUUAGUAUCGAAGCUAACGCGAUAAGUUGACCGCCUGGGGAGUACGGCCGCAAGGUUAAAACUCAAAGGAAUUGACGGGGGCCCGCACAAGCGGUGGAGCAUGUGGUUUAAUUCGAUGCAACGCGAAGAACCUUACCUGGCCUUGACAUCCUGUGAACUUUCUAGAGAUAGAUUGGUGCCUUCGGGAGCACAGUGACAGGUGCUGCAUGGCUGUCGUCAGCUCGUGUCGUGAGA
rnacentral:rRNA from 1 species